rnacentral:rRNA from 1 species
GUGGGGAAUAUUGGGCAAUGGGCGAAAGCCUGACCCAGCAACGCCGCGUGAAGGAAGAAGGUUUUCGGAUCGUAAACUUCUAUCCUUGGUGAAGAUAAUGACGGUAGCCAAGAAGGAAGCCCCGGCUAACUACGUGCCAGCAGCCGCGGUAAUACGUAGGGGGCAAGCGUUGUCCGGAAUGAUUGGGCGUAAAGGGCGCGUAGGCGGCCCGGUAAGUCUGAAGUGAAAGUCCUGCUUUUAAGGUGGGAAUUGCUUUGGAUACUGUCGGGCUUGAGUGCAGGAGAGGUAAGCGGAAUUCCCGGUGUAGCGGUGAAAUGCGUAGAGAUCGGGAGGAACACCAGUGGCGAAGGCGGCUUACUGGGCCGAAACUGACGCUGAGGCGCGAAAGCGUGGGGAGCAAACAGGAUUAGAUACCCCGGUAGUCC